AUGGGCCUGGAACACACCUCCCCGCAGAGCACUGAACACGACCAAAGCCUUUCAACAGCUGUGAGCCGAGCCCUGGACGGCGGGACUCGAGGGAGCGGCGCGGGCUCCGAGCGCCAGGGCCCGGGUGGGGAAGGGGCUCAGGGCAGCUUCUGGGAACCGAGCCUCGGGGCGCCCUGCUGGGGGGCGCAGUGCUCUGGGGCGCCGAGGCGUGGCCGCGGGCAGCGGGGAGGUCAGGUCCCUCUGGGCUCCCCUUGGGGCCGCGGGGUUCCUCACCGCCUCGCCUCCCCCCAGCCCAGGCGCAGGCCGGACACUAGGCCUCCAGCCUCCAGAGCACCCGCCUCUCGGAGCCGCUUCUCUCCUCCGAUGCUGGGCGGGUCCGGAGCCCUUGGACAGAGCCGGGCAGAGCCACCACUACCAAGGGUCAAUGAUUCAUGGGGCGCCCAGGCGUGCUCCCAAGACCUGCUCUGUCCUCGGGCUCUCCGGAAGAGUAGGGGAAAGUUCCCAGAGGAAAGUUGGUCACAUUUCUUAUUUUCCCAAGUAAGUAUUGAGCACCUGCUCGAUGCCGGGCCCUUGAACUGGGGCUGCAGCCAGGGACAGAAACGUGAGAUCUUGGUGGGCCCCGAGAGCAAACGCAGGGAACAAUGCAGGGGAAGCCGCGGCUCAGGACCAGGUCACCGGAGGAAGGAAAGCCUGGAUCCUCGCCCUCCCUCCUCUCUUCCUUCCCUUCCUUCCUCCCGGCUGCAUCUCCUUGGCUCCACCCCUUCUCCUCAUCAAUUCCUCCCACACUUCCCUGCUCUCCCAGGCUUUUCACUGGAGGGUCCCUUCUCCCAGGGAGGAGCAGAUGCUGAGCCUCAUUGUCUCUCCCCCAGUGACUGCAGCCUCCCGGGGACAGGCCUGCCACUCCUCACCCCUCCCCCUAGCCCUGAGGCCUGGGCCUUUAGAGACAAGUGCCCCAAGGCCACAGCCCCUCACCCCACCCUAAAUCAGCUCCUGGUGCUCUGA
rnacentral:lncRNA from 1 species